rnacentral:SRP_RNA from 1 species
UAUUGUAAUAGCACAACAUUUAUGUUUGAACCAGGUCAGAAUUGGAAAAUAGCAGCCUUAAAAACCUCUAAGUGUGUGUGCCUUUUUUAUAUGUUUC